CAGGAUACCUAAUCAAAUUUGAAUUUCAGAUGCACAACAAAAUUUGGGGUAUAAGUAUAUCCCAUGCAAAAUUUGGGACAUACUUGUACUAAAAAGUAUUCACUAUUUAUCUGAAAUUCAAAUUUAUUUGGG
rnacentral:miRNA from 1 species